rnacentral:lncRNA from 1 species
AAGUACUACUACCAGCAGCGGAGUUCCCGCAAGGGGCGGCUGCUGAGAAGCGCGCGUGUGGGCGAGGUGAUCGUGUACGACGUGGAGAACCUGUUGCCAGUUGACAGGUGCCUGGCGCAGCACUACAGGCUGGACGGCCGCGCCUUGGCCGCGAGCUGCGCCCACAACGCCGAGGCGACGCGCACCUGUGGCAGACGCGACCUG